rnacentral:rRNA from 1 species
GAUGAACGCUGGCGGUGUGCCUAAUACAUGCAAGUCGAGCGAACAGACGAGGAGCUUGCUCCUCUGACGUUAGCGGCGGACGGGUGAGUAACACGUGGAUAACCUACCUAUAAGACUGGGAUAACUUCGGGAAACCGGAGCUAAUACCGGAUAAUAUAUUGAACCGCAUGGUUCAAUAGUGAAAGACGGUUUUGCUGUCACUUAUAGAUGGAUCCGCGCCGCAUUAGCUAGUUGGUAAGGUAACGGCUUACCAAGGCAACGAUGCGUAGCCGACCUGAGAGGGUGAUCGGCCACACUGGAACUGAGACACGGUCCAGACUCCUACGGGAGGCAGCAGUAGGGAAUCUUCCGCAAAGGGCGAAAGCCUGACGGAGCAACGCCGCGUGAGUGAUGAAGGUCUUCGGAUCGUAAAACUCUGUUAUUAGGGAAGAACAAAUGUGUAAGUAACUAUGCACGUCUUGACGGUACCUAAUCAGAAAGCCACGGCUAACUACGUG